rnacentral:snRNA from 1 species
AUCAAGUCUCAGCCUUUUGGCUAAGAUCAAAUGUAGUAUCUGUUCUUAUCAGUUUAAUAUCUGAUAUGUACUCUAACCAAGGACAAUAUAUUAAAUGGCUUUUUGUAGCUCAGAGUUGGAAUAGGAGCUAGCUCCGUCCACUCCAUGCAUCCACCUGGUAUUGCCGUACUUCCAGGAACGGUGCAACCCCU